AGUCUCCCUCCUGCCUAAAGCCCAGGAAUAGUAUUGAAGCUAAUAACUAUACAGAGCCUUUUGUCUAAAUCCAAAUGGCCAGGAACACUUGAUCCCUAUGGAAAGGAACUGAAGAUAAGAAAUGUCCUGCCUAAGAUAGUUGGCAGGACAGCAAAGCUGCAUGACACAGGAGGCUUUCACCAAGGUUCCUCAGAUGCAGCAUCCUCACUGAGCAGCAGAGGGAAAAAAGGCUGGGGUAGUGUACUUGGUAUGGCUGAUGUCUCUCACCUUUCCUCAGAUACACUGUGUGUACUGAGCAAACAUCCUGGUGAACUGCAUGUGCCGGCCAGAUCUUACUAGUCCAAGGUAAAACUAGCUGGAAUUUCACCCUUUACUUGAGAUGCAGCAGGUCCUGGGACUCUGGUGGUGUAAAAUAUGGAGCCCUUUGGAUGAAUGAAGUCGCCAACCUCUC
rnacentral:lncRNA from 1 species